GUCUAUGGCGCAGUGGUAACGCGUCGCACUUGUAUACCACUGAUAGCUCAUAAGCUAUCUAACGCUGCACAUGCGAAGAUCUUCAGUUCAAUUCUGAAUGGAGGCA